UUUAGCUGGUGCCUCUGGCCCGGAGCCUCUCAAGGGCAAUGAUCAAACUGUCAGUUAGUCUGCAUCGCAUCUUGAGGUUCAGUGGGGGAAGGACCUGCUUCCAAGUUCACUCACAUGGCUGUCGCUGGCGUUCAGUCCCUGCCAGGUCGUUGGACCGCACGCCUCAAUUCUCCUCAAUUCUCUGCUGUUGGCUAGAGAUCUCCCUGGGCCCUUGCUACACGGACCUCUCCCUCAGAAUGAGCAAGAAAAUGAGGGAGGCAAUGAAGUAAAAGCAUGGCCUUUUUGCAACCAAACCUCUGAGGGUCAAAGAAGUAGUGAGUUCCCCAUCACUGGAGAUAUUCAAGUCAAGAGAGGGCAUGAGAGAGCAUGAGCAGGGGGAGGCGCAGAGGGAGAGGGAGAAGCAGGAUCCCCACUGAACACGGAGCAGGAUGCCGACUCGACCCCAGAACCCAGGGAUCAUGACCUGAGCCGAAGGCAGAUGUUCACCGACGGAGCCAUUCAGGCACCCCAAAUUACCAACAUUUUAAAGAUACUUUUUACUGUGGUUAAAUAUA